UAAAGAAUUUCGGUAUGGGAUGGGGAUGCGUUCCAUUAGUUAGUUGGCGGGGUAACGGCCCACCAAGACAACGAUGGAUAGGGGUUCUGAGAGGAAGGUCCCCCACAUUGGAACUGAGACACGGUCCAAACUCCUACGGGAGGCAGCAGUGAGAAAUAUUGGUCAAUGGACGAGAGUCUGAACCAGCCAAGUAGCGUGAAGGAUGACUGCCCUAUGGGUUGUAAACUUCUUUUAUAUGGGAAUAAAAUGUUCCACGUGUGGGAUUUUGUAUGUACCAUAUGAAUAAGGAUCGGCUAACUCCGUGCCAGCAGCCGCGGUAAUACGGAGGAUCCGAGCGUUAUCCGGAUUUAUUGGGUUUAAAGGGAGCGUAGGUGGAUUGUUAAGUCAGUUGUGAAAGUUUGCGGCUCAACCGUAAAAUUGCAGUUGAAACUGGCAGUCUUGAGUACAGUAGAGGUGGGCGGAAUUCGUGGUGUAGCGGUGAAAUGCUUAGAUAUCACGAAGAACUCCGAUUGCGAAGGCAGCUCACUGGACUGCAACUGACACUGAGGCUCGAAAGUGUGGGUAUCAAACAGGAUUAGAUACCCUGGUAGUCCACACAGUAAACGAUGAAUACUCGCUGUUUGCGAUAUACUGCAA
rnacentral:rRNA from 1 species